UACGUGCCAGCAGCCGCGGUAAUACGUAGGGUGCGAGCGUUGUCCGGAAUUACUGGGCGUAAAGAGCUCGUAGGUGGUUUGUCGCGUCGUCUGUGAAAUUCCGGGGCUUAACUCCGGGCGUGCAGGCGAUACGGGCAUAACUUGAGUGCUGUAGGGGAGACUGGAAUUCCUGGUGUAGCGGUGAAAUGCGCAGAUAUCAGGAGGAACACCGAUGGCGAAGGCAGGUCUCUGGGCAGUUACUGACGCUGAGGAGCGAAAGCAUGGGUAGCGAACAGGAUUAGAUACCCUGGUAGUCCAUGCCGUAAACGGUGGGCGCUAGGUGUGGGAGUCUUCCACGACUUCUGUGCCGUAGCUAACGCAUUAAGCGCCCCGCCUGGGGAGUACGGCCGCAAGGCUAAAACUCAAAGGAAUUGACGGGGGCCCGCACAAGCGGCGGAGCAUGUGGAUUAAUUCGAUGCAACGCGAAGAACCUUACCUGGGCUUGACAUAUGCAGGAUUGGCACAGAGAUGUGUUGUCCCUUGUGGUCUGUAUACAGGUGGUGCAUGGUUGUCGUCAGCUCGUGUCGUGAGAUGUUGGGUUAAGUCCCGCAACGAGCGCAACCCUUGUCUUGUGUUGCCAGCACGUUAUGGUGGGGACUCGCGAGAGACUGCCGGGGUUAACUCGGAGGAAGGUGGGGAUGACGUCAAAUCAUCAUGCCCCUUAUGUCCAGGGCUUCACACAUGCUACAAUGGUCGGUACAGUGGGUUGCGAUGCCGUGAGGUGGAGCUAAUCCCUUAAAGCCGGUCUCAGUUCGGAUUGGAGUCUGCAACUCGACUCCAUGAAGUCGGAGUCGCUAGUAAUCGCAGAUCAGCAAUGCUGCGGUGAAUACGUUCCCGGGCCUUGUACACACCGCCCGUCACGUCAUGAAAGUUGGUAACACCCGAAGCCAGUGGCCCAAACUCGUUAGGGAGCUGUCGAAGGUGGGAUCGGCGAU
rnacentral:rRNA from 1 species